rnacentral:rRNA from 1 species
GAUGAACGCUAGCGACAGGCCUAACACAUGCAAGUCGAGGGGCAGCGCGGGAGAAGCUUGCUUUUCCUGGCGGCGACCGGCGCACGGGUGCGUAACAGGUGUGCAAUCUGUCCAUAGUCGGGGGAUAGCCCAGCGAAAGCUGAAUUAACACUCCAUGUGAAUCGAAGCCGCAUGACUUUGAUUUGAAACGCAAGGACUAUGGGUGAGCACGCUUCUGAUUAGGUAGUUGGUGGGUAACGGCCCACCAAGCCCGCGAUCGGUAGGGGUUCUGAGAGGAAGGUCCCCCACACUGGUACUGAGACACGGACCAGACUCCUACGGGAGGCAGCAGUGAGGAAUAUUGGUCAAUGGGCGAGAGCCUGAACCAGCCAAGUAGCGUGCAGGAUGACGGCCCUAUGGGUUGUAAACUGCUUUUAUGCGGGGAUAAAGUGACGUACGUGUACGUUUUUGUAGGUACCGCAUGAAUAAGGACCGGCUAAUUCCGUGCCAGCAGCCGCGGUAAUACGGAAGGUCCGGGCGUUAUCCGGAUUUAUUGGGUUUAAAGGGAGCGCAGGCGGGGAGCUAAGCGUGACGUGAAAUGUAGCCGCUCAACGGCUGAACUGCGUCGCGAACUGGCUUUCUUGAGUGAGUACGACGUCAGCGGAAUUCGUGGUGUAGCGGUGAAAUGCUUAGAUAUCACGAAGAACUCCGAUUGCGAAGGCAGCCUUCCAGGGCAUUACUGACGCUAAAGCUCGAAGGUGCGGGUAUCGAACA